rnacentral:rRNA from 1 species
UAACCUGCCCACUGAUUUAUUAAAGGGCCGCAGUAUUUUGACUGUGCGAAGGUAGCAUAAUCAGUAGUCUUUUAAUUGAAGGCUGUAUGAAUGGUUGAAUGAGAUAUAUACUGUCUUUUUUAAAUUUUUAUAGAAUUUUAUUUUUUAAUUAAAAAGUUAAAAUGUAAUUAAAAGACGAGAAGACCCUAUAGAUCUUUAUUUUUGUUAGUUAUAAAUUAAAAAGAAUAAUUAAAUUUAUAAUUUAAUAAAAAAUUUUACUGGGGUGGUAUUAAAAUUUAAUAAACUUUUAUUAUUUAUUUACAUUAUAUAUGAAUAUUUGAUCCAGUUUUAUUGAUUAAAAAAUUAAGUUACCUUAGGGAUAACAGCGUAAUUUUUUUUUAGAGUUCUUAUCGACAAAAAAGAUUGCGACCUCGAUGUUGGAUUAAGAGUUAUUUUUAGGUCUAGAAGUUUAAAG